CAUCAUAUAGUGUCCUGUUCUUCCUUCUGGAGAUAUGAUACAAAUUUGGCGCAAUGUCCCUUGGCCUUUGUCCACUUACCCAGCCACUGUCCCAGAAGGAAGUCUUGUUGCCAUCUCCCACUGUAAUCUUGGUUGCCGCCGCAAAGAGUUUGCGGUCCGUUUGGGAGCAAGGGAUGUCCUGGCUUUCCCAGGAAGGUCCAUCAUUCAUCCAAUCCUGCCAGAGCCACCGUAACCGCAAGGCCCUGGAGAAUUUCUGAGGUGUAACACACCUAGCCCUCCUCCCCUCCUAGGCCUUGCAGAUCGUGUCCAAUUCACUUUGCAUUUCCCUCCUGUGAGUGGCUCCGUCCCCGCCCAUAGGAAUUUCCUUCGCUUAGCAUCGAUAAUCUUCAGUAUCUCUUUGGGCACUUUGAGGACCGACAGUAAGUAAACCGGCUGAGCAGUUAGUACUGAUUUGACCAAAGUGAGUCUGCCAGCUGUCGUCAUGUUUCUGCCACUCCAACUAUAAUGCUUCUAAUAUGCUAGUUGAAUUGGGGAAUAGGGAUCACUACCGGAAACAGUAAAUUCGCCGAGUGUAAAACGUGUGCCGAGUGCAUUUUUUCGGGCACUCGGCAAACACAGUCUUUGCCGAGUGUAUGUAAUGAGGCACUCGGCGAACAUAAUACACUCGGCAAAUAGGAGGUUUGCCGAGUGCCAAAAAACAUGCACUCGGCAAACAACUACUGGACACUCGGCAAAUAAGCCACACUUGGUAAAUCAACAGCGCGUUUGUCGCACGUGCGUCGUCCGUUACCGGGUUGGGCCGGUCGUUAGACCUUUGCCAAGUGCUUGCCGUUCGACACUCGGCAAAGAGGCGUUCGCCGAGUGCCACUGGCACACACUCGGCACACUGAAAACUUCGCCGAGUGCCUUGCCCGGACACUCGGCAAACUCAACACUUUGCCGAGUGCCGUCCCAAAGGCACUCGGCAAACCCAACACUUCGCCGAGUGUUUUUGUCGGCACUCGGCAACAAAAACAAAAAUUUCCCUCCAACAGCUUCCACACUUUUUCUACUCCCCACGUAGGACAUUUGGUUAUGCAUAUUAAAAGUUGGUCUAUUUUCGGGUCUGUUUGGGAUUUUUAAUGCUUUGUUUGCAUUAAUAGGGAUUUUUUGAUUGAAGUCAAAUUUUAACUACAAGUACUUGAAAUAAUGGAUUGAAAUCAGUGAAAAAAUCAUAUUCAUAUUAUAGAGACCGGAUUGAGGUCUCAACCAGAAAAUGAAAAGAAAUUUUGAACAUUGUUUUUAAAAAACACGACCACGAACCUGUGGUUCAAUGGUUAUUAAAUUGUAAAAAAACCAAACGAAAUCUGAAAAUCACAAGAUUUGUCAAGAUGUCAUGAUAUUAUGUGUGGAGGCUGUGGUAAAAAAUUGAGAACGUUUCGCUCAAUUUCUAACAUAUGAUGCUUAGAAACCGACUAAUCUCCUGGAAGGAUUCAUAGAAGUUAGAAAGGAGCCACUAAGAUUUGGUGUCCAAGUGACACUUGAAUUAAGGAGUGGCUUCAAAUCUUUUUGUAUAGGCAACAUACAACACAAAUUGGUUCAUGUCAAAAUUUGGAAAUUUUUCGGAUGCGUUUGAUAUUUUUUAUUGAUUAAAUGCAAUUAUAGAUUUUUAUUAGAUAUAAAUGGAAUUUGAGCUAUAACUGCAUGAAAUUAUGGAAUAAUAUCAGUAGAAAACUAAUUUAACAAUUUUUGAGUGAUUUUGACACGAUUUUGAAAAAUUAUAUUAGAAAAAGGUCACUAAAAUACGUUAUUUCAUGUAACGUUUGCCGAGUGUCUGUAGGAAACACUCGGCAAAAAUGAUAGUUUGCCGAGUGUUUUCUCGAUGCACUCGGCAAACUAGUUGCACGGGCCCACUACCUUCGGCCUCGCUUCAAAUAAAAAAUUCCAACUUAACUUUGCCGAGUGUCGUAGAUCUGAGCACUCGGCAAACAGUAAGGCUUUGCCGAGUGCCCCCGAUCUGGCACUCGGCAAAGUACAUGCCCGGCGCGGUUUCGGGAGGGUGCAGUUAAUAUUUCCCUUUGCCGAGUGCCAGAUCGCGGGCACUCGGCAAAGAUUCGAAGAUAUGUCCAGCACUUAGCGUUUCGUCGAAUCAUUUCCGCGCCGCCUGUUGCCCCGCCCGCCGGCCCCCCGCCCGCCGCACCUCCGCGCCCGCUCGUGCCCCGCCCCGCCGGCCGCCACCGCCCCGCCGGUGGCCACCGCCCCGCCCGCCGUCCGCCACGUCCCCGCCCGCGCCCCCGGCCCGCCCGUCUCAUCCGGCGCGUGCGCCCCCUACCCGGCGCGAAGCUCGACCGGCCGCCCCGGCCGCCCGUCUCCCCCGGCGCGUGCGCCCCUUACCCGGCGCCCCGCCCGACCGGCCGCCGACGCCCCGGCCCCGGCGCCCCCGCCACCAGCGCGCUCGGCCCCGGCGCCCUCUGCCCGGAGGCCCGCCCCGGCCCCGGCGCCCCUUGCCCGGCGGCCCCGGCCCACCGGCCGGCCCCAGCGCCCCUUGCCCGGCGGCCUCGGCCCACCGGCCGCCCCUGGUGCCCCUUGCUUGGGCCCGGCGCCCCUUGCCCGGCGGCCCCAGCCCACCGGCCGCCCCCGGCGCCCCCUGCCCGGCGGCCCCGGCCCACCGGCUGCCCCCGUUCCGGCCCCGGCGCCCCCUGCCCCUGCGCCCCGGCAUCCCUCACCCUCCCGGUAAUGAAUUUUUCUUUUUGAAGUUAGGAAAUCAGAAUUAGAAAGUAGGUUAAAAUUAGAAAUUAGAAAUUAGAAAUUGUAGGGCUUUAGUUGUUGAAAUUAGAAAAUUGUAGGGCUUUAGUUGUUGAAAUUAGAAAAUGAUGUUUGGCUUGGGAAUUUAAGCUAUAAGAAUGUUUGUGGAAGUCAGCCAUCGUGCCAUUCCUUCUUCUGUACAUGUGGUUGUCGGCCAUCGUGCCGUUUCAUUUGAUGCAGGUUAUGGAAACCUCCACGUGCAGGGGAGGUGCUGCCGAAAAUUUUAGUUGACAGUUGUAUGUUUUUUUUUGCAGGAGAGGCUACGUUACCGUCCUCGAGUCGUCACUUUGUACGAUAGCAAGGUGAGUCAUCCUGUUUCUUUAAUUUUUCAUUCAUUUUGUACUUAACUUUUGCUUGACAAUAAGUGGUUGGGAUGAAAUAUUGUAGGCCCAGGUGGAGGUAGAACGGAAGCGCCGGGAGGAACUAGAGGUGAGGAUCGAGGCGGAUCGGCAGCUUGAAAGGCAGAGGACGGAGCAGAUGUUCCAAUACAUGCAGAGUGUUUUCCACAGUUUAGGUCAAACUCCACCACCUAUGCCACCGAACCUCUUCCCGCCACUUCCACCACCUCCUGCAGCUACUCCUGUGAGUCAAUCUCAACCUUACAAUCAAUCUAGACUUAAACUAGAAACUACAGGCACUACAAACUUACACUAGAAUUACUUGUUUAGACUAUGAAAUCUCUUUAACUAAAUUUGUGCAGAAUCAAUCGGCGGCGUCCAAUGCAGAAUCUUCCUGGGGGCAGUGGCCACCUGCACGUCCUCCUCAUCCUCCUCAGUGACUUGUCAUUUCUGUGUUUGUGAUGCAAAACUUGUGAAUUACUUCUUUAGACGAGAACUUAUGAAUGCUAUUUGUGUGCUUGUGAAUCCUGUGGUGCAAUUUAUAUGCUUGUGGUGCAAUUAAUAUGCCUGUGCUUCUGUGGUUGUUUUUUGAGAGGGGUCCUUUAUACCUAACAUUUCUGUUUUGUAGUGGGUGUUAGGACACUCGGCAAAGAGGCCAUUUCUGGUACUGGCAGACGGCUUUGCCGAGUGUAUUCGCCAAACACUCGGCAAAUGGGUCAUAAAAUUUGUCGGGGCGGCCUCUUUGCCGAGUGCCAAAGGGCGGGCACUCGGCAAACAAUAUCAUUUGCCGAGUGUUUCACAAAACAGCACUCGGUGAACGAGUCAUAAAAAUGGCGGGCCGGGUCUCUUCGCCGAGUGCCUUCCCGUGGCACUCGGCGAAAUUAUCAUUUUGCCGAGUGCCUGGCAAAAAAUGCACUCGGCAAACGGCCGAAUAAAAAAGGCAGGUGGGGAUUCUUCGCCGAGUGCCACGCGGCAGGCACUCGGCGAUCCAUGAAUUUUCGCCAAGUGUUCUCCAGAAUACACUCGGCACACUGAUAAAUCUUCGCCGAGUGUCCUUAAGAAUACACUCGGCACACUAUACGAAUUCGCCGAGUGUCGGCCGUCAGACACUCGGCAAAUCCACCGUUGCCGUGACAGACCAUUAACGUCUUUGUGCCGAGUGUUUGAUUUUGCCGAGUGUAUUUUGGCACUCGGCAAACGGUUUGCCGAGUGCCCGACGGUCGACACUCGGCGAACAUCCUGUUCGCCGAGGAAAACUUUGCCGAGUAGACUUCGCCGAGUGUUACACUCGGCAAACCCUUUGCCGAGUGUAAUUGGGCCUUCGCCGAGUGCCUGGGGCACUCGGCAAACUAACUGUUUCCGGUAGUGGAUAUACUUGAUCGAUGCUCUAAUCUCUCUAUUCUUAACAUAACAGUUACUUUCCCGUGAAAAGAAAAAUAAAUUUAUAUUGGGCAUCAAUUUUUAAGAAUCGUUGGUGGGAGGCUUUUUUUCUCCUUCAAUAGUUUUUAUCAAUGUUCCAAAAUUAUUUUUUUAAAAAGUAAAGUUCAGGUACAACGGCUUUGAGGAGUACAUGGAACAGCUUUGAGAUGGCAUUGAGAAAAGAUGGCAAGGUGCCCAUCGGAGAGCCGCGGCCGCCUGCAUCGCACGACACGCCAGUCAACGCGAUUCCGUAGUAAGCAUGAACUCGAUUCCGUUUCGGGGAUUGCUCACUCUGUAAUCGAAAAUUCGAAACUGAUUCGGCAGUCCGAACCUCCGAGCUACUCCAGAAGCGGAGAAACCCGCCCGUCCAUAUAUAUCACAGCGCCGCGCCGGGAAAGCCCUCGCUCACGGCAGCGACACGAAUCAGAGUAUUUCGAUCACGCGGCGGAGCUCUGACGACUGACCCGAACGAGAAACCAAGAAAAGAAAGGGAAGGCCGCCAGAGGGGGAGAAGGAGAAGAGGAUGGAGGCGUCGCGGUUCGGCUUCGACCUGCCGCCGGCGUACAAGUUCGACCCGACCGACGCCGACAUCGUGGCUCACUACCUCCUCCCGCGCGCCAUCGGGUUCCCGAACCCCUACGCGCACGCCAUCAUCGACGACGACCCCUACAGCUGCCCGCCCUGGGAGUUCAUGCGCCGCCACGGGCACGCGGGCAGCGACCACGCCUUCUUCUUCGGGCCCCAGCGGGAGCCGGACCCCAGGAAGAAGGCCGCCCGCACCGUCGCCCCCGGGGAGGACGGCGUCGGCGGCACCUGGGACGGGCAGAGGAGCGACGCCACCCGCCUCGUCCUCCUCCGCGCCGGCGCCGGGGCCGAAGGCCCAAGGCUCGAGGUCACGUACAAGCGCCACAACCUGUCCUACUACCACGGCCCGCAGAAGAAGAAGACCAGCGGGUGGGUCAUGCACGAGUACCAGAUCAUCGACCCGCCCCACCUCGCCGGCACCAUCCUCUCGCGCGUCAAGAUCACCGGCAAGGAGAAGAAGAAUGAGGGCAAGCAGCAGAAGCAGGCCGACGCCGGCCAGCAGGUGGUCCCCCCGGGCCCGGACCAAGCGGGCCCGAGCAACUACUACCAUCAGCCGGUCGGCGGCGGUGAGGAGUACGGCGGUGCCAUGGGGGACAACACUGGUGUUUGCUAUGUUGGCGACGGGAACGACUACUACAUGUACGAGGGCGACGGCAGUGGCGGCGGCGACUGUUUCCCUGCCGGAGACGGCGGCAGCUAUGCCGACGACGGUAACAACUACUCCAACCAGGACUCCGGCUACUGUGGGUAUCCCGACGGUGGCGGUGGCUUUUUCCACGUCGGAGACAACAAUAGCUAUGAGUAUCCCGACGGAGGUCGAGAAGAAGGACAGUGUACUGUAUAGGAGAACCAUCCACGGGCUCUGCGUAUCUAUUUGGCCUAUGUUUGUCAGCAAUUUGAUUUUUUUAUUCAUUUCGAAUUAUGAAGCAUUCAAAUUGGUUUAUUUGAAUUAUUGAGAUUAGUUGUUGAUUUAGAUAUAAUUAUAUAUUGUCUUAUUCUUUCUGGCUUAUUAAGCAUCCAAGGAUUUUUUUUAUAUUAGAUUAAAACAACUGAUUUUACGUCACGCAUAAAUAAGCCCCUUUUUAUGUUCUUUUUGGAGGAAGCAAAUUUUCUGAAUUCCCAAUUCCAGCGCCACCAUUAUAUACAGUUUGGAAUACCUCUUUGACAAGGUGACUUUAUAUUCAGAUAAUGAAAAUCGAUACAAAGAAUGAGCCUAUGCUGACAAAAAAAAUUAAAAAAAGAAUUAUGUUAUCAUAGAACAAAGAAAAUAAUGAAAUUAUGUACAAUAAGUUGUAGAGUACCUUAUUUACAUAUGCACAUUCACUGCUGAAUCUCUUUUAUUUUGGGGGAAGGGAUUCGUACCAACAACCAUAAUAUUUGGUAUCUCUAUAUUCUCUUCCUACACUCGAACCGAUAUUUUACCCUCACUUACUGUGUAAUAUGGUGUGGCGUGGAAAACGCCUAGUUCCUUGCUGCGAACAUGCUAUAUAUCCUGGAUCAUGCUUCAGCUUGCUGGCACAUGCAGUCAGGCAUUGGAAGGUUGUAUGUGGAUUCCUGCGAUUUCCUUAAUCUGAAACCUUUUGUCUCACUAUGGCGACGCAUGUCCUGCAUGUGGUGCUUGAAUUGAUCCCAUCUACAAGACAUACAGAAUAAAAUUUUGAUUUACUCCUUAAUCAGCUGAUAAUUAUGAAAAAGAUAGCAUCAAAUCCUCUGCAUCUUCUGGCCAUUCCAGGUGUUUGAAAGUCAAUGAGAAUAACCAGUAAAAUAAGAUUUAAAUGUAUGUUAGCAUAGCAUAUAGCAUAUGAAACAAUUGCUAUAAUGUACUUAGAAUGAACCUUGCUUAUUGGAAGCAAUCAACUUUGAUGAAAGGUUUAUGGAACAAGGUCACCUUGGGUGCAUACAUGUGAACAAAUUCAGGCCACAUACUUUAUGGAUUGAAAGAAGUUAUACUAGGACAACCAAAACAUACCUGAUAUUUGGAUUGUCAAAGAGUUGAACUAGUUUCCUUUUAUCUGGUUUUAUUGUCUUCGCAUGUCCUCCAUACAUAUAACGUCUGUGCCCCAUCAGAAAGUGGGGAAAAUUGCUUCCUUGUGUCAUCACAAACACCUCACUGUGAAGACAGAUAGUGUAAUCCAAUGCUGCCAGUCUUGAUGAAUGUCCCUACAUAUUGUGAGUAGGAAAAAUGUAUCCUUCAAUACCUUGCUUCCAACAUUCUUAAUGCAAAUCAAUGAGAUAACUGAAGGACACGGAUUUUAUAGAAAUGCAAUAACCAAAGAAAGAGUUACCUUGAACAGGGCAAGCUCCUUUGAUGUAGCCAGAGUUUGUUUUGUUUGCAAUAAUGGAAACAAUUGGCGAAGAGGAGACAUAUAUUUUUCAGCGUUGUAUAUUUUACCAGAUGCAACAUAAAGGGAAGUAGUAUUGUCGAAUCCCAUUCCUCGCAGCAUCAUUCCAACCUGUAUACGCUGAAUAAGUAAGAAAAUAGCAAUCUAACAACAUCUAAUAAAACAAAGAAAAUCAUUCCUCUUAAAGUUUCAUCAGCGGUAAAACAAAAAUCUUGUACAUUAGGUGUGACUGAUUAAGAUAUUCUAGAAAUGAUCUCUCAAUAUGACCUAGCACUCUGUCUGUGAUGCAACUGUCCAUCUGUAGACAGCCUUGGCAUGGGCUCUAAAAAUGACUAAGAAGUAAGUAAUUCAGAAGCACAAAAAUUGGAAGGAACAAACAUCGCAACCUCUAAAGGUGUCAAAGGGCAUCUUCCAUUUCUUCGAUUAGCCUCAGGAUUUAUCACUCGACCAGGUCGGUGAAACUUCCCUCUCCAGCUCCUUUCACGAGCAUUUUCCAUUGCGUUGCUCUCCUUUGAAUCACCAUCAUAUAUGCAGCAUGAGAAAGCUACCAUGUCCUAAAGGUAGAGCACACAAUCAUCAUAACUUAGAGAGAAAAGUAGUAAUACAAGACCACACAAGAUAAACUUUAGUAAAACCUCUUCAAAGCGAAGAUGCACUGAGACAUACUUCCCACCAGUUAAAGAACUCCUCUUGAUCAUUCGGCCAACCAUAUUCUCUGCAAGAAUUCUUAUUGAUUCAGAAAAUCUCAAUGCUUCAUAGUUUGCCAAGCAUCUCAAUGCCUGGACAUCUGAAGGAAUCGAAUGGGCCAAUCUAUUUGAGAAAGGGGCAAUACGCACAGCCCUGUGCCAAGGAACAAGAACUAAGUGAAGACAGGGUAUAAGGUAUCCCAAAAUUCCAAGCAUCUGACACUACUUCCAGGCAAGAAGCGAGAAAGGAGCACACACCCUAGCUCCAACAUUUUUGGAAGCACCUGUUGUAGGUAGUAACUUGGGGGUGAGAAAGCUUUGGUUCUCAUAUUUGGUACAGUGCUGAUGUUAUGAUCAAAUCGCAGAGAAACUUCUUCAGGAAGUUCUUUGACAACCCUUACAUGUUUCCUGAGAGACUCGAUGAAGUGAUCUUCGUCAAAGAUAUCGCUAAAUUUGCUGAAAGCAUGAAAACACAUCCUCAUGAAACUCUCAGAAGAAUACUGUCAUAUACCAAAUGGUAAUAUCAAAAUAAUAACUUUUUAUAGAAUAAAGUUUUAAGUGCUACAGUUUUAGUUCUAAAUGGGAUGGAGCAUGUAAAUUCAAAAUAUUUAUAUGAUUAAGUCAAAACUGUAUAUGAUAAAAGUUAAAGGCUGACAUGAUACAUGGGAGCUGAUAGGAAGUUGCAGGCUUGCAGCAACAAGAGGAAAGCUUAUGUGCACACAAUGAAGGAUAGGAAAGAAACAUACAAAGUUUCUCCUUUUUUGCAGAAUAAAUAGAUCUUAUCCGUUUUACUUAUUGGCACUAGCCCCCUUACAAAUUGUUGACCAAAGAAAGACUUGUAAAAGGAGACUAUUUGCAAAAAAAUAUAUCCCAACUUAGGGCCUAUUUGUUUGAGAUGCAGCUUUUCAACUUUUUUGAAAAGCUGCUGCUGGCUUUUUGGUUCUGAAAAGCCAACACUAGUUUUUAGAAAAUGUGUUUAGCUUUCUGAGCUCAAAAGGCUGCAAAAAACUCGGAAAACUAAGCUUUUCAGCUUCCCGUAUAAACUCAACUUUUCCGAGCUUCUAGCUUUUCGGAAGCUGCACUGGGAAGUUUGCUGUUUAUUUGAGCUUCUAGCUUUUCAUGCUGAGAAGCUGCUAGAAAGCUCAAACAAACAGGGUUAGUCUUGAAAAGGACUAUUUUACAAAGCUAGUUUCCAAGAAAAGAUAAGAAGGGGAGGCAUAUACCAUACACAUAUCUGUAUAUUCUGUAGUAAGUAAAUUGUUACCUAGAAUCACGCCAAACACUAUUCAAAUGAAAUGCUGGUGUCACAAGAGUUGCAUUGAGAAUUCUGGCCACAACAAUAGCAUCGCAAAUCUGUAUUAAGAAAUCUGUAUCAGAUAACCACAAAAAAUGCUGAAAUGGGGAAACCUAAGUUGAACUUGAGGUACUAUAUAAUAAAAUAAAACAAAGAAUUCCAAGGAUGAAGAUUUAUAGCAUGUAAAUCUCCAUUUGUUAUUGAGUCUUCUAGAGAAGAUAAGGUACAGACAUGCACAAAAUACCUACUACGUGUUUAUGAAAGAACUGAGGUUCACCACAUGUACAUGGGGAACUGCCAAUUAAUGAUGCAGCCCAAAGAAACAAAUCUUGGCAAACAGUUGACACCUUGCUCAUCACAAAGAACCAGUAAUAACCAGAAAAUUCUCUGCUGAGAUUGGAUCCCACUGGAAAAGGCAGACAGUAGGGAAAAUGCAGGUCGUUUCUGAGUUUUCCAGUAACUGCUAAUUUUUGGGAAAAAUUCUUUUAGCCUGAUAAAGAAGCUAAUGUGUCACCACGAAAAUGCAUGAUAAUUUUGAGGAUGGACCGUUAAAAAAAGAAACAUUUCACACCAAUAAUUUUAACAGUGUAAGGAAAUGAUCGUACAACUUACUGAAAUGCGUUGUUGAUUUAGGCCACCAUUUGCUUCAACUAUAAGGAAUCCAUUUGAAGAUGGUAACUCUGAAAAGUGGAUUGUGUGCCAUCAAUGUCAGCUACCAAGUUAUGUUGUAUUUCCCGGAUUAUAUUGUCAUAGAGGCAAACAAAGAAUAAGAAUUAGCUUUUAACUUGCAUGUUUGGUAUCCAAACUAUACUCUAAAGGUUCUGUUACCUGACUGUGCCAACUUCUUGCUGAUACAAGGUUUCCAUCGUUUUCCAAUCUUUUUGUAAUGAGAUGUCAGUAACUGUGAAAUGCAAGGACAAGAGGAAAUUAUCACAUACAUGUGAGAAAUUGGUUCUAAAUUCGUAGCAUCAGAAGAAAAGGUUGGUAGUAAUAAUUAUGAUCGAAGGCUUAACUCCAAAGGUUACUGACGUUAUUAGUAUGGUAGUAAUGAUCAAGACAAGAUGAUCAGCAAUGUCAUGUUCAACUGAGUCAAAAUCACAAAGAAUUUCUUUGGGCCUUGUAAAAGUUAAUAAAUUCAAAUUAACCAUUGCAUCAUUGGUAUAAAACAUCAACCACCAGGCUGCUACUACAAAUACUAGCAUAUGCAUGACUAUACAGUACAUGCAUCACAUAGUCCCUUCUCAAUCAAACGACGAGCAUCGGAUCGAUCUUAGUGCCAAAAUUUGUUCAAUGCAUGCAAAACAUCAAUUCACGUCUUUUUUAAGCAAAAAAGGAAAUGGUUGAAAUUUUUGAAAAGACAAGUGAAGAACACAGAUUAUGACUAAUCCUUCUUUUAAUACUAUACCAGCAAUAAACCUAGUCUAUACGAACAAAUUGAGCGCCCAAAGUGCAAAUUUGCAAUCCCUAUAUAUGGACACAUCGAACCAAGCAAGGAAGCAAAAUUUCCCCUUUCCAAGACGAAACCAGGAACUUUGGCGGGCAAGAACUCAAUUCCGCUCCAGAAAAAUCGAAUGCCAAGAUCAUAACUUUCCCACCGGACGAUGCAAUAAAAGCUCGGAUUUGGACAAUCACCGGAUUAGGGCGCGAGGUGAAGGCGCGCAUUUCCGGGAGGAGCCGCUCGAACACGAGGUGGCUGCGGUGCACUGACCCGGGUGGCGGCGGCGGCGAUCCCCGCCGCAGCGCGGCCUCCACCACGCCGCCGGCUCCCAGCCCCUCGCCGCCGCACAUGGCGAGCAUGAGCAUUGCGGCCGCGUACGCCAGCGCGAGGAGCAGCAGGGCGGCCCGCCGGCGGCGCCCGGCCAGCACGCGGACCAGCCGCCGCGCAGCAGGCUUGGCGCCGGGCGAAUCGUUGCCACGCAUGGACGCCGCCGCGGCCGCCACUGGCAUCUCCUGGAGCGCUCCCGCGGGACCAUGCGAAGCGAAGCUGGUGGAGGAGGUGGUGGUUGUGGUUGAAGCGGGAGAGGAGAAGCGUGCGCAGAAAUGGCAAAUACGAGAGGGAGAAAAUAGGUUCUUGUCGCGGUGUUUGGCACCGAGAGGGGACUGCAAAUGUUCUUCUCGCAAUCAGAUUUGCAGACGAACAGAAUCAUGUUAAUAGCCAUUAGAUACUCAGAUGAUCUCAAAGUUGGGAAUUGGGAUGCCAUGCAACUAUGCAAGUUGAUACCAAAUGAACAGCUCUGAAUCAUCACCUUAGUUCGUUUUCUUUUUCAUUUUCUAUGGCUCGAAAUCCGGAUUAUUAAUUUAAAUGAAUGAGUUUUGAUUCGACCAAUGACUUCAAAAAUGGAGAAAAUCAAAACUUCAGACCUUCACAGUGACGUUGGGAUACGUCAUUAUAAACAUACCUGUUGUGGCGAGCCAUCAAAGAAUAAGAAGAUGAUCAGGAUGUGAUAAGUUAGGAUACAAGACAUGAGCCAUCAGCGCGUUGUAGCUAGAGAGUUAUUUGAAAGGACGGUAGUGCGAGAGAACAUAAUAUUGUUGGCUAGAUCAUGUUGAUUAUUUUGGAAAAAAUAGAUAAAUUCUAAAUAGACACUCUUAUCUCUUCCAUUAAGUAGUGGCGUUACAAUGGCUUUUCACCGCGCGUGCACUUUGUCUGCUCUUAGCACAUCACGCGUGUUUUUUAAUCCAAAAAAUAAUUACUUUUCUAGAUAAUGGAAAGAGUUCUGGCUUCAUCACUUUAACAAAGGGAAAUCAGUCAACAUAUUAUUACACGUAGUAGAUCAAAUAAUAACUAUGUGCGACCUUCUACCCACUAUAUCUAUGGCACAAUUGAUUUCCAUCACCUUCCACCACUUCCUCACUGAUUGUAUAUCUCUAUAGUUGGAACUUUGCUUUGACGAUAUGGUUUUCCAUGCCGCACCGUAUCUGAUAUAUUUCCACUGAAACUGAUUCUACAUUUCCAUUUGGUUAUACCAUUGAAUAUGCCCAAUAUAUUUUCCUAAAUAUUUUGAUUUAUGCAUACUAGGGAAGCAAAAAAGUCUUUAUGUCUUUAUAUAUAUAUAUAUAUAUAUAUAUAUAUAUAUAUAUAUAUAUAUAUAUAUUAGAUGUAACUUCUUGUUUUGAUUUACAUUGUAACAUAAAGAAGGAAGAGUGACAAGGUGGGGCUAGGGGUUUAAUGAUGAUGCGGAACCUUCUUUUCGGUGGGAGGCACUCAAGAGGUAACAAAAAUGUUGCUUGGUUCCUUUUUAUUUCUAGUAGAAAAAACUAACCACGUUUGUUCUGGUUGCUCAAAUAGGUAUAUAAACAACCUUUUAGCAAAUUUAGCCUACACCGAGAGAACACUCAACUAUUUUCUCUUAUGAUCUCUGUGGUUAUUGAGUUGCUGCAUGCCUCUACAAGAAACAUCUUGUGCUAUAUAUAAGAGAAAAGUGAUCUCACAUAUCACUCAACGAGAUCUACAACUUUGUAGUUGAUAACGUUUCCAUUCGAAGUUGUUUUGAUUUCUAAAUAUUACAUAUAAGAUUCAGAAAAGUCAAUAUAAAAGGAUAUCAUCCCUACUUUGUAGCUGACAACGUUUUCAUUCGAAAUUGUUUUGUGUGGUGUCGUGGUAAGGAAAGCUUCGCGUGAAGCUUGAGGUCACGAGUUCGAACUGGUGAAGCACAAUUACUCAUUUCGCGUGAGAAUUAGUGUGCAUUGCACCCUUGGAUGGCUGAUAGGUGUGGAGGUGUGCUAGGGUGCUGCUCAGGUAAGAAAGAUUUUUUUCUUCCGUUAUCUAUUUUUACAUAUUUGUUUUAAAAAAUUAACCGGCAGUGAUAAUGACUAGCACCGCUGGUUUGAAACACGAGCCGGCUGGCGGUGAUAGUUAUUUUCACUGCCGGUUCAAAACCAGCAUUGAUGUGCUAUAUUAUUACAGUCGGCCUUUCACCAACGAUAACCAAAACCGGCAAUAAUGGAGGUUUUAGGAUCGACAGUGAUAGUCUACUUUAGUGUAUAACAAUGCUAACUUUCAUCUCUGACAUGGUAUAGAAAGCAAAUAACAUAAAAGCUGCAGUGUCAAUGAAAUGCACCCUGAAAUAAAAUGUGCCAUUGAUCCAUUUCCUGCAAUUGUUGCUUUAGAGCCUCAUUCGCACCAUCGAUCACUACUGCCUUUAGUAAUGUAAAAUCCGUAUAUUAUACUAAGAAUAGGUUCUUGCGUGUUACUUUUCCCUACUUUAGAGCCUCAUUCACACCAUCGAUCACUACUGCCUUUAGUAACACAAAAACCGUAUGCUUUGGUAAGAAUGGGUUCUUGCAUGUUUCUUUUCCCUAUUUUAGAUCCUCAUUCACACCAUUGAUCACUACUGCUUUAGUAACGGAAAAACCGUAUGUUAUGCUAACAAUGGGUUCGUGCGUGUUACUUUUCCCUAACUAAUCCCUGUAAAUUCAUCACUACGCUCAUUGUUAUACUUACACUUACCAGACACUACUUCUCAUGUGUGUCUUUCAUUGUGGUGAUGAACAGAGGGGUGUCAAUGCCAAUAAUUCAAAGAGGCAUCGGUUAGAAGGUAUGUGUUACUAUUUCUUACCUUACUAUUUGAGAGGGCAUGCAUGCAGCUUUGGUGCACCGCGAGCCUUCAAGCUGGUUCUGAGUCUCCAAUUUUGCAUGAGUGAUAUAUAACUAAUUGUUCUUUCAUUGGUAGGUGGCGUGCAUAUUGGCUACGAAAUGUAUGUGGUGACUUCGUCAAUCUCAAGGUACGUUGGCCUCGUCUAUACUGUGUUUUGCAAAUAAAAAGGCAAUAAAAGUAAAACAUCAAUGUAUGGUUCAUAUUUUAUCCUUCAUAGUACUUACCCUCUUUAUUUGGUUUUGUGGACCUUGUACCACUUGACACCAUUGCCAGUUAUAAUACUUUAAUGAAAGAAAUGCCACCACCAUACACAAAGGGUAAACAUUUGUAUGAACUGUGGCUGCAUGUAGACGAACAUCAUGGCAUGUAAGCUGAACAAGAUAGGUAAAACAGACAUUGGAGUUGUUCAGACUAAGAAACACCACAUUACUGUACCAAGAAAGGAACUUUUCCUCCUGAAUUCCUCAAAUGAAAGCUUCUUUUUUAGCUGUAAAAAAUGUUUUACUUCAAUUUUAGAACACAACGCAACGAGAAAUAAAGGUAUCCUGUAAAUAGUCAUAUGCGUAUCCAUAAACUCCGGUAAAACAAAGCAUCUUACAAAAACUAUGUUAAUUUAAGCGCUAGGCAGGAUAGAAGUAGAAUGCAAAGCUUAAAGACAUCCGCUGUAUAUUAUUGGAUAUAAACAUAUAAAGCAACUGUUAUUCGCAAAAGAAGCAUAAAUGAACUUGAAAGAUGAAAAAAAAUUGUCAUGCACAUAAUUUAAGAGCCUAAGAAGUAACAACUCUUCAAAAGACAAAGGCCACUUUAUCUGCAUAAAUUAAGGACAAUAAAGAGAGGAACUGAAAGCUGGUAACUGCCACAAGAGAACUAUGUGUGCCUUUUCUCCUUCAAUUAAGCAAAAGAAACAAACAUUCCAAACAAACAGCAUGUAUGAUACCAGACUUGGAUCAAGAUAAAUCCAUGUGAACCUCCUUAAAUUCAGUAAGUAUAUCAACUGCUUUCCUGAAAUCCUGAAAUGUUUCAGCACAUUUUGGGUAACAAACUGAAAAUGCAAGGACUUUAGUGGCAGCUGCAAGCAAAACAAUGCACCAUGCUCAACGAAAGGCAUUGCUUCUUUCUUAAAAGUUAAUAUAUUUUUUAAAGUAAGAAUAAUGGUGUCUACGCUAAUUAGAAACGGAUGGUAUAGUUUCCUUCAUACUUAGUCUUUCUAGCAUCGGUUUCACACAAAUGUGAAACAGUAAGUGAGCUAGAAUCGUACCGAAAAUACUCAUAAGUAAUUAUAUAUUCAUCGACAGAUGGCCAGGAUGGAAGGAGCACGUGUCACAAAGAAAGACACAAUGAGCUGCAAAAUGAAAGUAACAAUCAAGAAGGUCAGCGCUUACUGCAUGGUCUAUUCUCUGCAUCAUCAUUUCCCUAGUUUCUCCUAUUAUUAUAUACAUGAUAUGUCAUCUACAAUAUACUCCCUCUGUUCCAAAUUGUAGGUCGUUUUGGCUCUUUUAGGUUCAUAGAUAUUAUUAUGCAUCUAGAAAGAGUCAAAACGACCUACAAUUUGGAAUGGAGGGAGUAGCAAGUUAUGCUACAUGCUAUCUCUCAUUAUCAUUAGAUGAACCAUUGCAGCUUCUGCGGAAAGAUAGGCCCAGGAAGAAGAUGAAUAUACCAUAUCCAAUCAUAAAUGCUGCACUCAAAAUUGACAAAGAUUGUGAUAUUGGAUCCUUAAGCUGCAAAGAUCUUCAUAAGGAGCUGCAUAAAGAGAUGGAGAGAUUGAUCAUGAAUACACCUGAAAUCCAUGACCAUUUUAGUUAUGAAGUUCAUGCUAGUACCUGAUUGUCAUGCUAAACUACCUACGUUUUGUGUUUACUAUGUGCAAUGACUUUUGGGGCGGGGUGGGGGGGGGGGGGGGGAGGGGUUGAGUAGACUUUUCUGCAAAAUCAACUCGCAGCAGAAAUUAAACUAUGAUGGAGAUAUUGAUCAUGAAUACACCUGAAAUCCAUGACCAUUUUAGUUAUUAAGUUCAUGCUAGUACCUGAUUCUCAUGUCAAACUAUCUGUCAUGUGUUUACUAUGUGUAAUGGCUUCAUAUGGCCUAGACGGGAGUGAAUAGACUUGUCUGCAAAAUCAACUCGCAUAAGAAAUUAAACUACUCCCUUCAUAUCAAAAUAUUUAUCGUUGUUGAAUUUUCGUUGCAACAUUGAAUGCCAGUUAAUACUUAAUACUCCCUCCGUUCCAAAUUGCAGGCCGCUUUGGGUUUUUUGGUGCAUAGUUUUUUCUAUGCACAUGUAUAUAGUGUAUGUUGUAACAGCUCGAAAAUUCAAAUCUAAAAACAUUCAAACUCAAAAACUUCAAAACCUAUUUUAAAAUCUAAUUUCAAAAUAUUGCAAAACUAUGCCCGAGCUUAAUUCCUUUUCCAUCCAUAAUCCAUCCCAAGAUCCCCUUUAAUCCUUUUGCCUUUCCAAAUCAAUUCAGACAUUUAGCUUUCUCUCUAACCUUCCUAUUCUCCCUAAGCCAUCACCAUCAACAUGCUAAUCCCUUCUUUCAUGUGUGCUCUCCCACACAAACUUUCCUCCUCCCUUCCAUCAUCUCCCAGCUUGAGCACACACACGGCAUGCACCUUAAUCACGUACAAAGCAGCACAAAGCCGCAGAUAGCAGCUGCAUGAACGCCGCGUGCAAGCUUCACACGCCAGGGGCCCGUUGCCAUGCUCGUCCUGCUCUGCUUGAGCGACAGCCUAGCCCCGCGAGGUGACCACACCCUGCUGCCCAGCACCGUGCCAUGCCGCCCCUUGCCGCGUCCCCACCUCAACCAUGCCGCUGCGUUCAAGCUUGCCAGCCCUGUUGCAUCAUCGCGCGUGCCGUCAACGCUGUGUCGCCUCAGCACCACUGUCGUCGCAAGCUGCCACUCACAAGCUGACGCCUGGCCACAGCGCGCCAUUAAGGGCAAGCGGUUGAGCCGCUGGCACAGCUCCGCCCUCGCCGCCUAUAAAAGCCACCCCGAGCUACUCUCCGUCGCCAUCCUGAGCUCACCGAGCCGACUAGCUCCGCCGCUCAUCUCCCUCCUCGCUCCAAUUUCGCUCUCCUCUGUUCUUAUGCAGAGGAAGGUCUCCCUCGUCGAUCUCCGACGACAAGUUUCCACAGGUCGAUUAGUUCAUUGAUGAGCACCUCCACACCCUCCCCCUCCCCUACCCAAGCAACGGCCAUCCCUAUCCUUGCCUACACCGAGCUCCCAAGAACUCUAGAGCCGCAUCCAUGGCCACCUGCGGCGGACCUCCUUCAACCCUCUCACCCCGUCCAAGAACCCUCAGAACCGAAUCCCCAUCCACCUCUCUCUCUACCCAUACCCUUGGAUUCGAAAAGGGUGGCCGGGAGUGCCGUUCUGGUGGAGCUCCUGCCGCUACUCAUGGUGGCGUUGCCAGGGGCCUCGUCGUCCUCCCUAUGCUCUUUUCUCCGAGAGUAGAGUUAUCCAGCUAGUGGGCUUUGGUGCCCAUGUACCGGUCUCGCCAGCCCAAACAAAAAAAAAACAGCCCACAACGACAAUAGACCACAAACCUCCCGUGCUCGAUUAAACCCGUGAAGCCUCCCGUCAGUUAUGUUAAACAAUUUUCGUAAUUAAUUAGUAGCUAAUCUUUACACAGCCAUAUCUCACACAUCAAAACUCCAAUUCACUUGAUUCUUUUUCCUAAAUUCCUCUAAAAUCAUAUUCUAUCUAAUACAGUUAAUCUCCUCUCUGUUUGAGCUCAUUUUAUUUUGUGAUUGUGCUUGUUUGUAUUUUGCGCCAUCGAUGUCGUAGGUCAGUUGUUGAGGUCGGCGCGGAGGUUGCGGCGGUCGCGCAACUCUUCACGAAGAUCACGUUGCUGACCUUGUCUGCCACGAUCCUCGCCAUCACCUCUCCUGCCACGGCGGCGGUUGUCAUGGUUGUCGAGUUGAUGGUCAUUGUUGGCGGGUGGGUUGGCGGGUUGCUCCACCUCCUCUUCACAGACAGGCUCUAGCCGACCUCCCGCGCGGUUGCCGUGGUCUCCUCGAUGGUGACCGGAUCUGCUAUGAGCGGAUGGGCUUCGAGAGUGCCGGGUAGCUGUGGACUAGGAGUAUGCUGAUCGGUUGUGAGCCCGCUCUUCAAUCUGGGCGUUGGCGACGCGGAUAUGUGCCCGGAUCCACCGGAGUGGCUCCUAGUUUGGAAGGAUUCUGAGGUCGGCAAAGGCAGCCCCCAGGUUAGCCUGGGGUGUGGUGAAGACAUUGUGGUCGGCCCCCUCGAGGUCGGCUUGUAGAUUGUGGGCGCGCACAAGGCGCUUGCGUCUGCCCCGGGUAGCGUCCUGGUUGGUGUUGUCACCGUCGUUGGUGCGCGGUGGGUCGGCGUUAGCGGCGGGCGGUGGUUGGCGCCGGUCACUUGCCGCUUCGGCUCCCACAUUAGCAACAAGUUGUUGGCAUUGUUGGGUGUUGGCUUGCUCCCGUUGGUGCCGUACUGCACGGUCCUAGUUCUUGGCGUUGUGACUUGCUUCCUGAGAAGAGAUUUCUCCAUCCUUGGGUGGAUCAUCGGCGGAGACUACAAAGGCUUCGCUAUUUGGUGUGGUGGAGUUACUCUCGACGUCAUCUCCAUAAGGGUUCAAAGUCAGGACGAUGCGGGGGAUCUGAAACUCAUCACAGUCCGAAAAUUGGGUGGGUUCGGGUGAGCCUUCAGAUUGGAUCUAAAGAGACUGCGCGAGUUUCGCAGGAAACAUGACAGCCGAGUUCUUCAGACCAAAGGGGGUGAGGGAAGGACCCUGCCGACCUUGUCGAGCAUAGCGCCGCCUCGGAGAGAUCAAUGCACUGAGAAAUGAUGUUGCUGAUACGAUUUAGCCCCGCGACCAGGUUGGAGAGCGUGGGUGGGUUGGGCGUAGCAAGGAUGUGUGGGAUCCUCUCUGAAAGAGAGAGAUCGCCGACCUGCUGGGCAAGCGGUGUGAUGAUCCUCAGGUGAAGACCUUGCUCCAUCGAAGCAAAUCCGACGGAUGCUGAGCUGGUAGCGGAUGCCGAGUCAUCGAAGAAGGCGGUGGAGUCAGAGUCCAUCGGCAUGCUCCCAAAGCGGAGCUGGAUCGGGUUGGCGAGGAUGUCCUUCAUGCUCUUGGGGAAGAUGAUGCCAGGGUGAGAUGACAUCAAGCUCGCUAGGGAGGAUCUCACAAUCACCCCUACCUGGCGCACCAACUGUCGGAUUUAGUAGCCUGACAGUCCACCAAGGGGUUACCCAAGUGGUUGAUUUGUAGGCAGAGAGGAUUGCAAGACCAAGAACUCAAAGGUGAUCACGAGAACACGAGGGUUUUGAUAGGUUCAGGCUUCCAGAGAGUAAUACCUUACGUCCUGUAUUUUGGUAGUUUGUAUUGCUUGAGAAUUGAGAUGCCUUCGGGAGGCGGCCUUGGCCAUCUUAUAUAGUCUGACGACUAGGGGUUACAAGUUGGUUUGAAUCUAAUCUAGUCGGUUGUUACAUGGAAAGCAAUCUGAGUUGGAUUACAAUACGUAUCCCACAAUAUUAGGGCUGAUUUGAAUCGCCUGGCCUCCUUGACUUGCACUCCAAGUAUCUUCAUGUUUUGGUCCGCACGUUCUUGUUGGGUGGGCCCACUUGUCAGGACCAGCUAGUAUCCUGGCUGGUGGGGACCCAUGGGGUACCUCAUAUCCCUCACUGAUGAAGUGAUCAAGGAGGAGAACCAGUUUGGAGGCUAGUACCACGAGCCGGAGUACGAAGGCUAGGACCACGAGCCGGAGUACGAAGGCUAGGACCACUAGUCGGAGCCAGAAGCCCCGUGCUGCAAGCAGGAGCUGCCCUAAAGGCUUUGAAGACAGCAAGUCCAAUCUAUUCCCUUUUGGUCAUAUUUAUCCUAGUUUUCAAACACAACCCAUAUAAGCCAUUUUAUAAAUAGCAUCCAACUAUAUAUAUUUGCUCAGAUAAUUUUACUACUUGAUCUAGUUAAAACCUGGUUUGAUAGCCACUCCUUGAAUUGAUAUAUCUUGAUUAUAUCUUGAUGACUUAGGAUUUUUUGCUAGACAUGAUAUGCUCUGUUUAGCCAAUUACCUUGAUAUUAAUACGCUUAGAAAAUGGUUACUCAACAUCAUUACUACUUGUUUCACAAAUGCAAUGGUUUUACAAAAGAUAAAAUGUGUUGAGUGUGUUGGUGUGAGUAUGGAUUGGGGAUUUUGGAAAAGUGAUAGUAAACAACUGGUGUUGGUUGGUGAUUAUUUAGAUGGGACGGAUCAAGGUUCCUUGUGUGGGAUGCCUUGGAGUAUUGGCUCGUGCCUGUGUGGCUAAGUAUGGAAGAUAUCUGUCUUGUCUUAAUUAAGGAUUGAGAUCAUGUGUCAUCUUGCCUAACCCAACUUAUCGUACAAUCACCCAACCUUUGUGUGUGGCAAAGGAUUAGCAUAAAUCCCACUAGCUAGUGUGAUAGUCGUCUAUAGGCAGGUGCACAACGAGAGGCCAAGGAGCAUGCGUAAGCAAGUACUGAAUUAGUGGCCCAGUUGAAGACCUCGUAGGAAGGUCAGGAACCCCUUGGGUAGCUCUUGUGCGUGACUAGUCAGGACUAUGUUGUGGUGGGUAAUGGCUGUGAUGGUUCUGCACUGGCACUAUAGUGAUUGUGUCGUUGUACGUCCUUGUGAGUAAAGUGUACACCUUUGCAAAGUUAAAAACCUAUUCGAAUAGCCGUGUCCAUGACCUUGGAUGAGUUACGGCUUGGUCACAUAACUAGUUAUUUGGGAAAGAUGGGCAAACCUUUUGGUGUAAAAUUGGAUUUUGAAAAUAUCCGGCAAGCGUGCCGUGUGCUACCAUGGACGGGGUGUCCAGUAGCACUUAAAAUUUGAUCCUUUGUGUAGGAUCACCUCACUCUUUCAUAAUGACUAUAAAUGUGGUAUAUAUGUGUUUUGCAAAAAAUCACUUUAUAAAAUUACACCUUGCAUGUGUAUAAAAGAUUGCUUUCUGCAAAAUAAACCUUGGCAUAUUCCUUGAAUUACCCUUAUACAUGUAUUCUAUUAUCCCUUUCCGUAGGGUGGGUUUGGAUUUGCUUAGUACGUAUGUACUCACCCUUGCUUUGUUGAUAUAGAGGAAGACCCGGACUACAUUGUUGGUGGAGCUUCCGAGUAGAAGGUCACCUCCGCACCCAACUUGCCUGUGUCGUUGGGCUGUUAAGGAUGCUUCCGUUAUCGUGCAGUGCUGCUUGCUGCUUAUGGACUUGCAUGUCCAUAGGUUGUAUCUACAGCCUAUUUGUGUUGCAUCUCUUUUGGAUCUAUAUUACCCAUCCACUUCUUAGAGAGUUGUACGGCUUUUGAAUUAUCUGUUGAAUAAAUGUGUGUACCAGCCUUCCUGGGAUGAGUAUUUGUAUCACAUUUAGUCCCUAAGCAAAUGGGAGCGCUUCAUAUAUCUAGAUGCAUAAUAAUAUCUAAUAAUCUAGAAAAACUAAAAUGACCUACCCUUUAGAACGGAGGGAGUACAUCAGUUAAUCCAUUCAUGGCGUGUGGCACGCACAUUCCUCUUGGUGACUCUUUUGCUACGACGUAUCCUCUUCUUCAUCAGUUGGUGCGGCGCUCUCGUCUGCAACAGCAGGGCUGCCGCUGCCACCGUCCAUGCUCCCGAUGGGGUAAACCAGUUGGACGUGCACGACGCCGCAAUAAUUCAUGUCGAGAGGGCCCAGAGCUCAGUGGACUCGACCAUGGCUUCCACGACCCACGCUGCCAUGCCGUCGGUCUCAAGCGUCCAGGUGGUGAUGGUGGAGCCACGGAGGCAUGCUCGGAGUCAAAGCUCCGGCAGCCGUCGGAGCUGAGCCGGGGAGAGACGCUGACCAGCUUGACCUCGCUGCGAGCGGUGACGCAGACGUACGACUCACGGAGGCGUCGGGGAUAAUCGGAGAGGACGACCUCCUCCGGGUAUGGCACGAACCGCAGCGUGGGGUUCUCCGCGAGCACGUCGGAGAAGAUGACGCCAUUGGUGAAGUCGAUCUAGCACAGCAGCCUACGGCUGAGGGGUGCGACGGCGUGGGCUUCGAACUCGGACAGCAAGUAGCCCUCGCCGCCGCGGUCACGAUGGCUGAACCAUGGCCACUUGACACGCCACUCGCCAGCACGGAACAGGUGGAGCUCGGCCACCUCGGGCUUUGGCGACGGUGUGUGGGGCCUCACCUCCACCUUCCUGAGCUCCGCCACCACGAGCUCAUCCUCCUUGCCACGGUGCAAGAGGCCAAUGGCGCCUCGGUUGCUGGCGCAGUAAAAGGGUGGGAGCAGACACAACGACGAUGGCCGCCGAGCGUCGUCAUCGGCAACGGCGGCAGCGACGGUGGCGCCCGGGCUGUACACGAAGUAGUCAGCCGGGCGAUCUUUGCAGGAUUCCGGAGAACAACGUAGAUGAGCAGGAAUUUGGACGGGAAACGGAAGCUUCUAGUUUGUUUACCGGCCGAACCAUUUUAGAAAAUCAAAUUGAUUACACAGGGACAUCAUGCUCGCAUGCUAUCUCGGAGGAAGUACAUUGUCUAUUUAUUGGAUCAAGAUGAAAUGUGGGGUAUGACCAUAUGAAUUCUCCAUAUCAGCAUAUGCAAUCUGAUGCUAUAUAUCGCGGAUGAGUAUAUGUGGUCAACUAAAGGCACCCGCAAUGGUGUAGAUAGCAUGCUCUCUGUAAUGUUGUCCAUAUCAGCAUAGAGAGCAUUGUAGACUCAUUCCCCAACACGACAGCUAUAACACGGAGGAUGAGGUUCGCGGAUACCCUCCCCCCCCCCCUCACGCCUUCCCGCGGUUGCCUCCCUGCACCAGCGGCCAGGGCGGCCAGGCCUCCUUCCAGCGCCGGCAGCCUUAUUGGCAUGCCUGCCCCACAGCGUGCUUGAUCUCCCUCUUGCGCCUUCUCCUCUCCUCGUCUGCUCGCCUGCCCGGCCUCCUCCCCACGCUAGUGCCUAGCGGUGGCCGCCCUCCUCUUCCGAUCCACACAUGCCUCGGCGCGCAGCAGCCCAUUCGCCUCUUCCCCGUGUCGGUGGUAGGUUGCAAGCUUCCUUCCCGCCGUGGCAUCCGCCCCUUUAGGUGAGAAAUAGAUACUGGAAAUUCACAUUUUAUAGUAUAGAUUAAAAUUAUGGCGUGAUCAUUGUGAUCAUUAACUUGAAAAAAUUUACAAUGUUGACCAAGUAAAUAGCCCAAUAGUUACAAAUAGAAUGCACCCUCAUAGGUGGCUCCACGUAUGCCUCCACGUUACAGUGUAGCUGUUUUUCAAAGCACAUCUGGAUGGCGUAUUGAUAGGUGGCUCCUGCGUUAUUCAGCCAAAAGGACAUUGUUUUGUAACAGAAAGCUCCAAAAGGGGUGAUGAACGGAGUUUUAGCUUUGUCUUCUUCCUUGAGAGCUAUUUAAUGAUAUCCUGAGUAGUAGUCGAGGAAGCAGAGUAGUGCGCAUCCAGAUGUAGAGUCGACGACUUGAUCAAUCCUUGGGAGCCCAAAGGGGUCCUUUGGAUAGUGCUUGUUGAGGUCUGUGUAGUCGAUGCACAUCCUCCACUCAUUUUUGUUCUUCUUGCGAACCAAGACUGGGUUGGCGAGCCACUCUGGGUGAAAAACUUCCUUGGUGAAGCCUGCAACGAGUAGUUUUGCUAACUCUUUCUUGAUGGCUUCCCUCCUGUCCUGAGCGAAUCUUCGAAGUCGUUGUCAUUUUGGAGUAGCUUUAGGAUCCACAUUUAGUGAAUGCUCGAUCAGCUCCUUGGGCACACCUGGCAUAUCUGCCGGUUUCCAUGCGAAAAUAUCCCGAUUUGCCCGAAGGAAGCUGACAAGCGCGCUUUCCUAUUUAGCAUUCAGCCCUGUGCCAAUCAGGGCUGUCUUGGAGGAGUCAUCGGUCUCAAGGUCGAUGGCUUUGAAGUCCAUGUCACUUGCUGGCUUGAUUUUAGCAACUCCAGACUUGUUCUCUAGGAUCUCGAGUUCUAUCGGGGAGAGUUUCUUUGAAGCGGUGAAGACUUAUUGGAUCGAGCUGGGUACUUGGGUAGUUGCAGCUAAUUCAACAGCUUCUGUGUCGCAUUCGUAGGAUCUUCGAAGGUCUCCGCUGAGGGAGAGUACUCCUUUGGGUCCUGGCAUCUUCAGUAAGAGAUAAACAUAAUGUGGGAUAGCUAUAAAUUUGGCUAACGCAGAUCUUCCGAGGAUGGCGUGAUAAGAAGUUUCAAAAUCUUCCAUGUCAAAGCGGAUGUACUCGGUUCGAUAGUACUCCUUUAUCCCAAAGGUGACAGGUAAGACUACUUAUCCGAGGGGUAUGGCUACGUUGCCUGGGACAAUAUCGUAGAAUGGAGAAUUUGUCGGAGUGAGCAUUCCCGUGAUGUCCAGGCCCAUCUUUUUUUAGAGUUUUGGCAAAAAGGACAUCACCGUCGAUGAGUACUUUCGUAGGCCUUGAACUAGUGACAACUGGGUCAAGAAUGAGGGGGAAUCAUCCGGGUUCGGAGAAACUUGUCCAUCGAUCCUUCCUUGAGAAAGUAAUAUGUACUUCUGACCACUUGAGGGGUGUAGGAUUUGCAAGCUCGAUGGACAUGAUCUCUCGUAGUGUCAGCUUGUGAGAUCGUUUGGAGGCGGUGCCUGGGAUCCCGCCAAAGAUGACGUUGACGAUUUUUGAUGGUGUCUGAAACUUGUCUUCUCCAUCUUCGUCUUUGUUUACCUUGGCUUUCCCCUUGUCAUUAUUUCUCGAUGGUUCUGGUAGAUCUUUUGAUGCACUUCGUAAGCUGUAACAGUCUAUGGUGGCGUGCUUGCUAUGCAGGUGCUAUGGGCACUGCUUCUUCAAGAGCUUGCUGAAAUUGGGUCUUUCAAAAUUCUUCCCAUCCUUUUUGGAUGAACAGGACAUUGUUGCGAAUGUGUUGUGUAGCUUACGUUUGCGAUUUUGGUUCCCCGAGUAGUUAUUCUGGUUGUCAUUGUUGCGGUUCUUGUCGUGAUCCUGGCCGUUGCUUUGGUUGUUGUUACUGUUAUCGCGGCCACGAUUGUGGUUCGAGUCGAACCUUUCGCACUCUUUACCUUCCUCAUCUGCCCAUGAUUGGGCCAUGAUCUUGAGUUCUUUGACGUCUGCAGGGCAACGCUUUCCAAAGUCUUGGAACAUGCGACGGUCGUAGAGUCCAUUCUAGAAACACUCUAUUACAUCUGGUUCUGAGAUGUCCACGAUUUUGGCUUUUUUGUCGAAGAAACAACGUAGAUAGCCGCGCAAUGACUCGUCUUUUUGCUGCUUGACUUGUGCCAAGUCGAUUUUGUUGCCGGGGUGCUGCAUUGCCCCUGCGUAGUUGCUUGUAAAGGCUUUCUUCAAGUAUUGCCAGGAGUUGAUUUUAUCAGGUUUCAAAGACUCGAGCUAGGUCAGUGGUGCGUUUUCCAUGCAAACGGGGAAGUAGACAACCUUUGUGUGGUCAUCACCCCCUGCAGCCUGGACUGCCAAUGAGUAACAACGGAGCCACUGAACUGGAUCUUGCUUACCAUCAUAUUUGGAGAUACCUAGAGGCUUGAAUUUCUCUGGUAAGGUAGUAUUUCUUAUCUGUCUUGUGAAGGCAGGGAAAUGAUCGUUGUCAUCACCCCUGUAGUCUUCUUUAGCUUCGAGCUCGCGACGUAGGUUGUUAAUGACGUUACACGCUUCGCGAUUGCUGUUUAUUUUAUCUCUGAGGUCAGCAACGUUACGCGGGGGUUCGGGAUCAGUUCUGCGGUAGCGUGCGCCUCCAUUAGAACCUAUCCAACUACCUUUGGGUGCGUCUCUAUCUUGCCUUGGUGCCUCAAUUGUACCCCGAUGUUGUCUGGCAUCCUCGUGAGGUUGGGCUGACGGUCCUCCGUGGCCUCUGUUGCCCUCAUGUUGACUUCGCCCCGACGGAGCGCGAGAUACUGAAGGAAUUGGGCUCUGUUUGUCGAGUAGUUCAUAGGCAUGUUCCACCAACUGCCCUAUCAAGUCGCUGUAGUUGUCUUGGGGCAUGAUGUGAGUGAGCAUGUCAAUGGAAGCAACAGCGGCAAGCGGUGUGUUGUGUUGUCGUCCUAAGUUCUUUCUAAAGCUCUUUCUAAGUUUGCAACUAGGAAUUGGGCUUCGAGUAGUCGAUGCCGAUCUGCUCUCUGCACAUUUCUUGCUCGUCGUUGAGCUCUCUAGCUCUCGGUUUCGUCCCUAGUGGCGUUGAUGGAUAAUUCAUCUUGUGAGACCUCGUAUGCGUGACAUCGGUGUUGUUGGGGUGUUCUUUCUGGCCAAUGCUGACCGCCUUCAGCUCCAUCCGUGAUAAGGGCAAAGAGCUCUCUGUUCGGCGAGUAGCUGCUAGAACUUGAUGUAAUGACCUUUGUAGAGCCACCUUCUUCAUAGAUUGCUGACAACAGCGUUCCCUCUUGGUAUGGUAAGAUCUCAAGAUGGGCGAUGAGGCGUGACUCAUCAUCCUGGGCGAGGAAAGAUGGCUUCAUGCCUAGCAAGUAGACGAAUCUGCCCCGAGGUGUUAAAGUGAUGACCAGACCCUGCUGCGGGCUUGAUAAAGGAGUCUCGUCGAUGGAAUCCAAGUAGAAGUCAUGGUCGUGAUCCUUGAUCACUUCCAAUCCAGAUUGUGAUUUGGAUAGAGCUGCCUGAUGAACCAAAACCGUAUUUCGAAGUCCGAACAAAAAUUGACUUGGAGUUCAAACCGGUUCGCACGAUGGCUGGAUUGCCUGCUCGUGAGAACUAGUCCCAGUGGACGUAGGAUCCGAGUUGUGCUCGAACUUGCUUCUUGGUAGAUUGAAAACUUUGCUGAAUUUCUCGACGAAAUCCUCCGUAGCUUGGCGACGAAGGGUGAAGUCGAGUUGCUUCUUCUCCAGAGCCUCCGCAAGGUAGCGGCGGAAGCUUCCAGCACCGUCGGCGACACAGACACAAGAGUCGAAGACGAAUGUCAUGCCAGCUUCAUGCACGAUCGUAGGCUUGAUGAUGAUUUGAGCCAUCGAACUUGCAUGGCGAAUUUUGGUGACUGCCCCUACCUGGUGCACCAGCUGUCAGUGUUUUAGCCCGAUAACCUACCAAGGGAGUACCCGAGGUAGAGUUUUGAUUGGUGAGUGUUGCCGAAAUCAGGAGCCCGAUGGUGAUGCAGGAACACGAUUUAGACAGGAUCGGGCUGCUAGAUCGUGUAGUACCCUACGUCCUGUGUGUUGUAUCCUUAUAUUGGCUUGAACUUGUUUUGGAGGGGGUCCUAGCCCGCCCUUAUAUAUCCUAGGAGCAGGGUUACAAGGUAGUUGUUUUACAAGAGUACUAGUCGGGUUCAACUUCAAAGUCCUACUCCAACUAGGUAGAGUAGUUUCCUUAUCUUCGACUAGUCCCUUAGAGUCCAUGUAGACUACGCCGUCCUGUACCAUAGUUUCCAUGCCUUGGUAUGUCUCGGCGUAUUUCUCCAUACGUGGAUCCAUAUAAAGCUUCUGGUGGGCCCACGGAUGUAUGCCCGACAGUUGGUUAGGGUCCUUGUAGUGCGAUCGGAUCACCAAAUAGAUUCUAAGUUGUCAACUUAGCACGGGUGUAGUACGGGUGAUUGCAUUUUCUUAGAUUUAUUUGAGAAAUUAACAACCCUGUUCUUCCUGCAAUACUGACAUGGCCGUUGACAAUAAGGUCUCUACAGUGACUUGAUCAAUCUCAAAAUAUGUUGUCUCAUUAUCUUGGAGAAGAUGCUCAUACAUGUCAAACAAAUUACUUCAAAAUAGUUGGAGACCGCUGAAUCACAUGAAAUUUUUUCAAAGUCGACUUCCAAGUUACGUUUGCUAUGAGGUUUGCGCUUUAAGGACGACUGAUGCGUGCGAUGAGAAAAUUUUCAUGUGUUUUAGUAAAAAAAAUUUAUUUGUUAUUUACUAUGAGUUAUAACCGUUUUUUAAAAGUUGUAAGGAUGGUCUAAUUUAUAAUUCUGGUUUGGAUCCAAAUAUGGAGUAUCAAAAAUUCCAUCCCUUCAACCCCUUUUGGAAGACUUGAUAUACAAAAUCGAUUCGAAACCAAGAAUUACCGAUGGAGCUAUGGGUAAUAAAAAACAAAAUCUACUGAGAGAUAUCCGGAACACGUAUGUAAGAUCGUUCGUUGAGGAAUACAAGAUGGGAGCCGCCCGCAGUCUUGCUGGUAUCCAUCAGCCAUGGCGAGGGCACGAACACGCCGCAGGCGGCCCUUUCCCGCCGCGCCGUGGUCACGAUGUGCGCCGCGUCGCUGUUGUUCGCGGGGCUGACGGCGUGGGUCCUGUGCAGCUCCGACGCCGGCGACGGAGAGGACAAGUUCUCCGUCGUGCGGAGGCUGUCGCCGUUAAUCUGUGCGUACCUUUUGCUCUGGACCGUCGCGUUCUCGGAGUCGGAAGCGAGGGCUGCGCUCGCCGCGCGGUUCAUGCGCGCCUCGUACCUGCCGCUGCUCGCCUACCUCGCCGCGAAGGUGGUCGGGCCCCUCGCCGGCGCGGCCGAGGCGUGCGCCGCCACGUCCUUCGCCGCCGCGGCGGCCGGCCGCGCCCUCGCCGAGCACCGGCUCCACGCCGGGGCGGAGCGGUCGGCCGCCGCCGCCGCGGAGAACACCGCGCGCUACCGGAGCCGCGCCGAGGAGGGCAACGAGGGGUGCGUCGGGGUCAUGGCCGUCUUCCUCAUGGCCUUCUUCGCGGCGGUCCUGUGCGCCAUCAUGUGGUUCGAGUCCGGCGAGAGCAAGCUGAGCACGGUCGUCUUCGCCGGACCAUACCUCUUGAUCACGAGGCUGGUGCUGCUGCGCAGGGGGCCAUUGGAGGACGCCGGAUCAGAGAAGGCGGGCAUGGCCACCUUUGGCCUCGUCCUCUGGUGGCCCAUACUGGUCAUCCUAUUCGUUGGCCUCGCCAUCGGCGAGGCGGCCAUGAUGGUCGUCAGCUGGGCCAGCACCACGGCCAUGGCCGGGUACUUGGGGUACGGCAUCGCCGUGCACCAGAGCUUCGAGCAGCUCAUGAUCGUCAAAAGGUAACAAGCUUUCCAGAUCAAGAAACUUGUUUUUAUUAGCAAAAUUUUACGAUCUUCUUGGUGAUGGCCGGUAGUAAGUAGUAACUUUGUGCGUGGUGUGUCGCACGAGGCAGCCUCCGGCGGUGCAGGACGCCUCCGGCUUGCCGGUGGGACGCGACGGGGAGCACGCCGCCACGGUUCACAUCGACACGGCGUGCUGUGUCUUGGUGGGGAUCGCCGCGUGAAUACUUCUACCAGGAGGAGACGGGGGCAUCUUUGCCCGAUGACAUUGCUCGGUUUGAUUGGGAAGUCGAGCGCUGCACUACCGGAAACUGUGGGUUUGCCAGGCACUCGGCAAAAAGGCUAUUUACCAAGUGCAAACACAAAAACACUCGGUAAUACGACACACGGUAAACAGAUUAAAAAACACUUAGCAAACAUUUACACUAGGCAAAAACACACAUAAACACUCGGUAAAUUUUUGCACUCGGCAAAACAGGAAAAAAACACUCAACAAAGGGAAACACUCGGCAAAGAACUUCAUUUUGCUGAGUGUAAAUCUGUGGCACUCGGCAAAUAAUUUCAUUUUUUCUCUUCUGACCUUGAAACUUUUCUACUCUCAACAUACAACAUUUGGUAUCCCACGUUAAAAUUUGGUAUAUUUCUAGAUCUGUUUGCUAUAUUUAAUUAAUUUAUUGCAUUUCUAAGAAUUAUUUGGUAUAAGUCAAAUUUGAACUCUAAGUGAUUGAAAUAAUAGAAUAAAAUGAGUAGAAAAAUGAUAUUCAUGUUAUUGAGUCUAGUGUUAGGCCUUAUCUAGGAAAUGAAACGAAAUUUCGAAUGUCUUGUUCAGAAAACACGACCACAAACGUGUAUCCGAUGGGUUUUUAAAUUUAAAAAAAGCAAAUGAAGUCCGUAAAUCAUGAGAUUUUUCAUAAUGUGAUGGUAUCAUACAUGGAGGCUGCGGUAAGAAAUUGAGAAGGCUUCGCACAAUUUGUUACGUAAGAUGUUUACAAACCGAAGUAUCUCAGAAGAAGAAUCGUAGCGUUGAGAAAGAAUCGGUAAGAUUUGGAGUCAAAGUGACGAUCAAAUUCGGGUUUGACUUCAAAACUUUUUGUAUAGGCAAUAGAGAACAUAGAUUGUUUCAUGUGAAAUUUUGAGAAUUUUUUUGGGUCUGUUUGAUAAUUUUAAUUUAUUAAGUACAAUUAUAGAAUUUUAAUUGAUAUAAAUUAAAUUUGAGAUGUAACUGCAUAUAUAUAUAUAUAUAUAUAUAUAUAUAUAUAUAUAUUGUUGAGUCAAUUUGACAAAGUAUUUUCAAAGGACAUUGAACAAAAAAGGAAAAACAUGUUAUGGAAAACAAGGAAAUGAAAAAAUAACUAAUAUAUUUGGUGAGUGCCCCAAACCCAAGACACUCGGCAAAGAUAAGUUUGUCGAGUGCCAUGAUCCGACACUCGACAAACUCAGCAUGUUAUAAACUCUCCCGGCCGCCCCCCCCCCCCCUCCCCUCCUUCCCUCUCCCUCUCCCUCUCCGCCCUCCCUCCUCCCCUCCCUCUUCCGCCACCCCCUCCCCUCACUAUACCACAACCCCAGUAUAGCAACUUUGUUGGGGUCGGUAUAAGUCGUUGCAGCGAUGAACCAUCGGUCGGUAUAGAGUUAUCCCGACCCUAACUAUUAGUCGUUGGAAGUGGCGUCGGGAUAAAUCUAUACCGACCCACACAUUUUUUCCGACCAACAAUUUGACAAGCCCAUGAGUUUUUACCAACCGAUGUUUCAACGGGACCAUUUAGAUGGAUUAAAAAAAAGUAAAAUCAAGAUUAAUCUAGUGUUCAUGUACAGACAUUCAUCACAAAGUAGCACGUUAACAAAGACAAACUUUCGUUCAUUCAUGUAGGCUCAUAAGUCAUAACAACAGAGUAGCUAACAUUCGGAGAUAGGCUCAUAUAUAACAUCAAAUUCUACAUGUCCUAGUUAAACUGCAGGUAGACAUAUAUGGAUUGUUUGCCUCCAAAAUGAUAAAGACAUAUGCAGGUAGUUCAGAACAAAUCAAUAACUGGAUCAACACUUUGAUCCACUUGUUGUUGACAAGAUCCUGCCUAGCACCUCUUUAAAGUUCAUGAAACUCAAAGUUGGCAUGCAAUAAGUGAAAUCCUGCAAACCUCGGUCCUCAAUGCAUAAAAUCUAAUCAAGUAUGCAAAAUAUAAGCAUCUUUGAGGAUAAUAAUACAAUGGUCUCUACAUUUGUAUAAACAAGUGUGAACAAAAUGAUAUAGCACACUACUCAAGUUCCUUCACCCCAUAUUUACAUUUAGCUAUAUCCCAAAAUUAAGGCCAGCAGUCCUCUGAGUGUUUUUUUUCAGAAAUCAUAUAUACACUGCAGUGAAUCUUUUCUAUAGAAGAACUUAGCACUGGUGCUCCUGUUUUUGCAGUCACAGUUCUACAUCUACCACCCCAAUAAUUUAAUAGGCACAAAAGCUUUCUAAUUUCUAUGACCGUUGCAGACAUCUUAAGCUUGCAAAUUUCUACUCUAAGUUGUGUCGAAAGUACAAUUCAGAAUAAAAUACUUGCAGUACCCAGUCACUUGGUAAUUUCUUAGCAUUACUAGCAGCAGCACACAGUAUAUCCAAGGAAGCACUACUGAAAUUUUCAUUUCCUAAUAUCUAAAGCCAAAAUGCAUAGAAAAUCAGCAGGCAAUAUCGAGAUGCUAAGCAUUUCAGAUUACAUGAGCAAUUGUAAGUGAUUUUUCUUGAUAAAAGUCUCAUAACUCAGGUUUCAUGAUAAAAGCAUGUUCAGAAAGCACUUCUUUUCUUAAGACUAUGUCUGAAACUUCUACUACUACCGCCUAGGAACCAAUCCUGAAUAUAUCAGUGUGAAAUCAGUAGAUUAUGCCAAACAUCUAAGCCUCUACAUGAGAGACGAAACAGAAGAGAAUAAGUCGCCAAGAAAUAAUAUAUAGCGUAACAUUGGAGUGUCAUCUCAUUCAUGAUAUAAAGUGCUGCAGCUGUACUAAUUGAACAGAUCAGAGAACACAGAAUCAUACCAUUGUUCCAGCAGCUGCAGUAGGGGUAGCAUAGAACAGAGCACUAAUCGAACAGAGCAUAGCACAAAUUAGGCACCAGCACCUGCUGCAGUAAAGGUAGCAUAGAACAGAACUCAAUCGAACAGAGCAGAGCAUGAAUUAAACAGAGGAGGAAGAAUCAAGUACCAGGAUGGCAGGACCUGGAGUCCUAGAGGUCGAUCCAGUUCUGGGCGGAGUCCUGGAGCCGAAGCUCGCUGAUGGAGCCACCGGGUCGCUGCCAAAUCCUGUUGCUGCUAGCGAGCUCGCUCCUCGAGGGCUCCAGCCAGGCACUUACCGCUCCAAGAACAGCAGGGGCCCGCCGCUGCCAGCAGUAGGGCACGACCCCUCCAUGCCCUUCCUGGUUCAUGGGCAAGCGGUCUGGAGGUCGCUGCCACCACAAGCGACAUCCUUCCUCCUCGGGGAUUCAUGGAUCUGAACCUGCGGAUCUGCGGGGUCAGGUGAGGCGUCGCCAUGGCCAAAGGGGAGGCUGUCCCCGUGCUGGAUGCGGCGCUUGGGACUUGGGAUGGAAGGAGGAGCUAUGGGAUGCGACAAUCUAGGCUGGGAAGGUCAUGGAGAUGGGGAACGGCGGCACGGUGGGAUGUUGGGAAGGGCACAGAUGGGGAAUGGUGACCGGCGCGGCGGUGGUACGACACGCGCGAGCGGCUGAGCAAUGGAAGCGGCGAGCUAGGGUUCCCAGUGAGGAUGAGGAAAUAGUUAUUAGGCUGGCGCCGCUUUUGGGCCUCCCGCAUCUGAUUUUCGGCCCACAGCUAUGCCGACGGAUGGCAAAGUCCAUAUUAAACAGAGAUAGCGACCCAUCUUCUGCCCAUAUACACCAAAAUAAAUACCCAUCUUGUGCCGACCAAUAGUUUGAUGCUAACUUGUGCCCUAAUAUUCCAACGCUAAUAUUCAUCUUUCACCGACUACCAACAGUCGCUAAUUAAGUGUUGUGGUACAGUGCCUCCCUCUCCCCCUAUCUCCCUCCUCCUUCCUCUUUUUUUUGCACAGGUGGUGGUGGCGGCGACGGGCCAGGCAAGCAGUGGGCGGUGUGGUGGUGGCGGGCGUGGUGGCGGGCGUAGUGGCGGGCGUUGUGGUGGUGGGCGUAGUAGCGGCCUAGUGGUAGCAGGCGGCUGCGCGGCCAAGGCACGUGAGUGCCUGAUAAAAAACACUCGGAAAAGAAACUUUUGCCGUCACCGUGUACGCUUUUGCCUAGUGUUUUUGGGCUUCGCUGUGUACCGUGGACACACGACAAACCUGGGCAUUCCGGUAGUUGUUACUACUAUGUAGCAAAUGAGCCAAAAUUUACCUUCUUUGAGCUUAAGUGAAGUCAUUAGAGCUUAAUGGAACCAAUGAACAGCUUUGCACCCAAGUAAAAUGACACCUUUUGCCCCUCACAAGCUAAGCACGUGUUCAAGCCAUAACUCAAAUUUUUGCUUAAGAACUUAAAAAACUGCCCAACUAAGAGUUGUAUAACUCACAAAUUCUAACAACUUUUGUAAUUAGCUUUUUGCUUGAAACUGAUCAGAAAAGGGUCAAAAUCUCAAAUUACAAAUCUGGACCGAAAGCUGCAGAUCAAAUAAAGUCAGAACUUUGGAGCCCUUUUUCUCACAUUUUCGAAUGUAAUCUCAUGACAAACCUUUUAUAAAAGUUUUAGUGCUACGAGUUUUUAACAACUUUAAUUUUUGGACUUAGGCCAAAAUCUGCACAAAAGGUUUUCAAAAACGAGGUCAAAUGCAGCUAAAAUGGUCAACACUGUAAAAAAUGGCUGAAGUGUUCAAGUCUGAAAGUUUCGGAUUUUGCCAAACUUUGAAGCGUUUUAUCUUCAAUUCAGCUUCAAAUUUGAAAUCAAGACAAUUACAAGAAUUGAACUUAGAUCCUAGGCCUACAACUUUUGUAAAGGGAGUAGGGGUUGUGCAGUUCAAAAAUCUGGAGAAGAUCGCGCUCAAAGAUUGCCCUAUCGUCCGAUCCCGCAAAUCCCGCACCAGAGCUCGCGCCGAGCACGCGUGCGCCGCGCUCCCCUCGCCGGCUGCCCCGUGGCACGUGCUCCUCGUCGCUGCCCCGUCGAGUCGCCCCCUGCCGCUGCUAUAUCCGCGCGCACCCUACGACACUCUGGCACGCCACCGCCGCCGUGCCCGCCAACGCACGCCCGAGACAAGACGCAGCAGCUCCUCGGCCUCGCCUGCAGCGCCCUGAUGGUGCCGUUCACCCGUGCACGCCUGCUUCGCCUGCAGCGCCCGCCUGCACGCGCACCCGCCAAGUCACCUCCCCUGCCCACCAAUGGCGCCCGCCAUGGCCGAUCCACCCCGCAGCAACGUACCAGCGCCCCAUCCUUCAAACCACCCUCCUCGAGCCUCCUGCCUCCUUUUCCAAGCCCCAGUGCCCUCCAACAGAAAGUUCUUGCCCCAAACCACCAGCUCGAGAGGUUCUAGUUCCCCGGUGAAAUCCGACCAGCUCCCUCCACCUCUCUCUAAUAGCCCGCACCUAAGGCUCCUCUACUUCCUCAGCCAUAGCCUUGGAUACUCCUUGUCUCCUGCCAUCCACCCCAUCACCCGGAAUCCCACUUUUCCCAACUCCAGGAACUCCACCUGCCACCCCCACUGCCUCACCGCGGAACACCAUCUUCUAGUCAUCCUCGUCGUCAACCAACCACUCAAACGAAACCGCAGUAAGACACUGAUCAUCAUGCUCGCGCUCGAUUUCCUCUUGGGUCAACUUUCCACGCUCGUUCCCGCUCAUGUCGACGGUGUUCCUCGCCACCCGCGGAGCCCCUUCUGCGUCGCCCCGAUCCGCGUCUCUGGACCUGCUUCUGCGAGCUGUUGGCCCUGCUGCGCAGCCCCUCCUCUCCCCUAAGCCGCCCCGCUGCCCUCCCCCUACCGCCGCUGGCCCAAUCCCGAACGCCGGCCAAGCCUGUCUGUUCUGCUGUGCUGUGCGUUCGGUUCCAGAGGAAGAAGAAGGCUAGGGGUCUAGUUGCAAGUGGAAAAGAAAGUUAGGGGGUUACGGGGAAAGUUGCGGGAUUUAUGUUUGAGGUGGGUUUUUGUCCAGGGGUGUAGGCGCAAGAUCCAAGGGCCUCUACGCAUUUAACCCAUAGACUUGAGGGCUAGGUUGGAAGAUUGCCUCGUUUUUCUUUUUUUUCCUAGAUCUAAAAAGGCUGAAAGUUUAAAAAGGCAUAGAAAAGUGUAGAAAAAUGCUAAAAAUACAAGAUAAAUUUUGUUAGACUCAAUAUUCUGUGUAGUUUCAUAUAAAAAUAAGUUUACACAUGUCUCUAUCAGAAUUAAUGUUAUAUGAUUUAAUCCUUGUUUAAGCUAGUUUAAAUCAUCAUAAAUCCAAGAAAAAAUGAUAAAAAGAUGAAUCCAACUCUCAAGUGUUUGUUUCAAAGAUUAGAAGCUUAGAAAACUGGUUUAGAGCCUAGCAUAGACUUUUAAGUCACUAUUUUAGUUUAUUAAUUGAAAUCUGCAGGUAGAUUUUUCUUUUUGCAUAAUGAUAAAUUUAGAGAUGAUAAAAAUAUGAAACCACUUGGCAUAAUUCAGGAAUGAGGUGUAGUUCACAAGAAAAUUAUGAGACUUGGUUUGAAAGUUAAUGAAAACUGCUUUCCUUUUUAGAGAAAGAUAAAAAGGAAUAAUAUAUGAAAUGCCUUUCAGACUAUUGGUUUUGCACGUUGAAUCAUUUGCACAUGCAUUUCAUGUAGAAGUUAACAUCACCGACGGUACGUACGAGCUGCACCUGACGCUCGAAGAGGAAGCCGUAGCGGAUCUGCACCACGCCGGAGUCGAGCCCGUGCCAAAGCAAGUCGAGGACCAGUUCGCUAACUCCGAGUGUGAAGGCAAGCUCCGGAGCAUAAAUUCCUAUGUUUAAAUACUUGCAAUAUAUUGGUUGUUUUGAUUGUGCAUUUACUUUUCUAGGAAUUGAUUGAAACCAUAGAUGCAUGAAUAUAGUGCCCCUUGAUCUGAACACUAGUAUAAGAAGUCGAGUAGUUCAAAUGCUAAAUAGGACUCGGUAAAAGUCAGUGAUUUCCUGUAACUCGCGAGUUAUAGGAGUUGAAUGAUUUUCUUUUCGUUGCAACUAUAAGAAUGAUGGACAGGGCCGGGCUUAUGUAGGUACUCGGUGGUUUGCCCCGUCUGUCUACUUGAAAUUGGACUAAGGUCGAAAGGUGAUGGUGUUCGUGAUUAAGUGUUUGAAAGUACUAAUCUCAUACCUAGUAUGGGAUGGGGAAGCCUAGUACCUGAUUGAACUGGGACGUGGCUUAUACCCCUGCUGUCCUUGGAACGUCAUUCCCAUGGUGCAUCAUGUGGGUGCAAUGGCGGUCAUAGUACGGUAGAGACCGGGACUGUGGAGCAUUGCAUGCUAAAGGAAGUUUGGACCUGGCACGUACCUAGGGAUCAAUGGGGAUGGCUGACAAGUGAAGCGAUCCUUCGUGGUGCGCGGAUGUCGUGGGAUUAGGUUCGCCAUGUAUGGUUAAUAAUUUUGAAUCGAUUCGUCUACCUCUCACAGUUUGGGACUACUUAAUCGCUAUGCUACGCUGAGUAAGAAUGAAAGAUGAUGAUGAUAUAAUAUUGUUACUUGUUAUUAAUUGCUUGGAAAACUAUGCUUGUUUAGUAUAGUUGCUAACUUAGAAUGAUAAACAACAGUAGAACUGGUGGCUAAAAUGUUGAAAGUAAGGACCUACACUAGUCGCUUUUGGCAAAACAAAACCCAGCGCCAAAAAGCUUGCAUGUCUAGGUGUUAGUGGAUUAGUACCACAGGUCGGUUAAGUCUUGUUGAGCAUAGUUGCUCAGCCUUGUUUGUGGCACCUCUUUUCAGGUGAGGAUGAUGUUCCUGAGUUCGCUGCUAGUUCUGCUUGGUCUACCCAGCUCCCUCCAGGUUGGACGGUCGAGUGGGAUCCCUCCUCGGACGGCGAGGACAGGGGUUAGUGAUGUCAUGAUCGACUUCUUCAUGAUAUCGUGCAUCGACGUUUAGUUUCCGUUCGUUUUAUUUCCGCUGCUUGAACACUCUACAAACUAUGUUUGAAUUUCUAAACUUUAUGUUGUAAUAAAUCGAUGCACUUUGUUUAAUCUGGAUAGACUGUUGUAAUCUCUGUAACCCCUCACCAUCGUGUGAGUUUUGCUUUCUCGAUCCUGCGUUACGUGGUUUUAUCGGAAGAAAUCCGACGGACGACCGAGUUGACUUGUUUAAAGUACAUGAUCGCGUGUUAGGUGAUUUAAGUGUGCUUUAACCAAGUUAAUUUAGGGGUUCUGCCACAUACUAAUUACCUGCUCUGCAGGUAAUGGUGACUCAUCAUUUGUUUGCUGACAUUAAUUUCAACAAAUCUGGGCAUUCCGGUAGUUGUUACUACUAAUUACCUGCUCUGCAGGUGACUCAUCAUUUGUUUGCUGACAUUAAUUUACGAGCUACACUGUUUACUAAGUGAUAUUUGUGGAACAUUCUAAUUUCCCCCGUAAAGAUUAAAGAAAGAGUUGUAUAGAUUUGCCAAUGUUGUUGGCUCGUGAGCCACAUGGCACUACGCUCCGUAGCAAUGAACUAAGCCAUCGCACGGGCGAGUGGUAGAAAAAUGGGUUUUAGUCCCGGUUGGAGAGCCGCAUAGAGCUCGAAAAUCUAAUGAACUUUGCAUGAAUGCUCUGUCCAUUGACUUGGCAUGGACAUGCAUGUAAGCGCAUCAGCUGUUCAAACAUUUCCUUUACAGGUGAUUCCUUCGGAUAUAAGCUCUGUCCAGAACUGAAACCGAUGGAUGCACUUUGAAAACAUCUAUAUGCGGUCUACCUGCAACUGCAACUGAUCUUGUCAGGUAACAGCUAGCUAGUUAACACCUUUUUAUGAAUUGUGAAUCUUGAUUCUGUAGGGCUCUCAAGAAAUCUAUCUGUUAACUAUGGGCGGCACACUACAUUGGUCAAAACAAGAGCUACUGGCACUGUAGCAGCCAUCCUGUAGUGACCGAAAUUUUCACUUGUUCUGAAACUUCCUGAUGGAACAAAGCAGAACCGCGCCAGCAACUGAAUGCUUUUCCAAAGCAUAUAAUAUCCAUCGAUGGUAUUGCAAUAGCCAUGUUCUGUCACCUGCAGCUCCAUCCCAGGACCCAGGAGAUGAAACAUAUUAGCUGUGACUGCAUGAACUCCAUGAGGCGAUCAGUCUUGAUCCAUAACCAGCGCUGGUGUAAUAUAACGGUUACGAAUUACAAAUAGUCUCAAAUUAACUCUUUCUCAGUGCACCAGUCCACACACAUAUAGCUUGCUGGUUUUAUGGCAACCUAAAUUGCCAAUUAUUAACACACAAACAAACCCAAACAGACCAAGCAAUCUAGCACAAAUAUUACAUGUCCCUUGAGAAAUAUUGUUAGAAGAAACAGAACACACUCGACACAAUGCAUCCUGGGCAUGCAGUAAAACUCUCGGUAAGCUCUCGGUAUGAAAUGAAACUCACCUAAGGUAGCUUUUGAUGAUAUGUUUCUUGCGCGAUACGAACUCCGGUGGCGGCACAUGCAAGUAGUAAUCGCUUUGCUCUGGAAGGCUCCACUGCAGCCUGCCCCACCAGUCACGCUCUCCGCUGACUUCCACCUUUGACUUUCGAUAUUCCUUCUUCAGGAGUGGGAGACUCUGAAAGGAUAGGCAGCCCCGAACAAAGAGCUUCUCCCACUUUGGUGUAUCAAAUUGAAACGUGACAUCAUCAUGGAAGUGCUGCAGGUGUGGCAGCUCCUGGAGGUAGAUCCUUUCGAUGUUUGGGAGUGGAGAAGCUGCUACAUAAUAGUCAGGUUGUUUGUAGAAAAUUGUCUUCAGGUUGUAGCAGAACAGAAUGACCAGAGUCUCCAGUGCUGGUAAUGACAAAGUGCAUGGGAAAAUUUUCUCCAGACGUGGGCAGUGCUCAACGUGGAUGUGUUUUAGUACUUCCAAAGUGAUCAUGGUUAUUUGAUCGUGGCUGAACUGGUUCAACAAAGCAUAGUAGGUUCUCAAGGCAGGAGGCCUUCAGUAUCCUAAGGGAUGGGAAUACCUCUGACUUUGAUGGGGCUUCCGAAUUCAUUCUGAAUACUUCUGUCAUUUGAUGGCAGCGUUGGAGCUGGCAUUCUUCUAGGCAAAUUAGACUGUAAUUUAGGUCAGUAAGGCAUCUGACAAAAGCAUCAUCUGUAAUGAACAUUGAGUUUGUAACAGAGAGAAGAUGCCUUAAACCAUUUGGAUAUCGAUUCUUCGUGGAUAUCUGCACAUGGCGCUGCUUUGGCUGAAGUUUCAUCAUGGGAAAGAUGCUAGCUGCCUCACAUUGACAGACAUCUAGAUAAGGUGAUCGCCUCUGGAUCUUAGUAAAAAUCUCACCUUUUAUAUUCUGUGGCUUCUUGGCUCUCACAUUGCAUGGUUGAACUUGGACAUUAAAUGACUGAAGAAACUGUCCUUUCUUCACUAACUUGUUAGCAGCAUCCGCAUUAAAGCUAUGAAAGAUCCUGGAAUCGUUUAUGUUGAUUUGAGCAGUAUUUGUCGUUAUCUCUGUAUGCUGAUUUUCAUCCUCACAAAUUUCCUGCUUGCAAAACAUCUUUAAAAAUUGCUUAUGAUCAUCUGCACAGUGAUCCAAAUAGAAUACCUCAGGAAACCUAACCAACUGAUGCCACGGGAAUCUCUUGAAACAAGGGACAUUCAGAAGAAGUAAUGUCUUUAAUUUUGGUAAAUUUGGGAGGCUGUGAGGGAUCUCCUCAAGGGCUGUUCCAGAAAGAUCAACAUCCUCCAGUGCUGUAAGAUCAUCACUGAAGUUCACAAUUUUCAGCCUGCUGCACCCACGCAAGGACAGGCACCUAAUCCAUGGUCCAGACGGUGAGAAGGUUCUGAGGUUACGAUGGCCAUGGAUUUUGAUAUCUUCCAACGCCUCCCAUGUUUGUAUAUAAAGAUCUUCAAGGUAUGGUAACAGAUCCCAUAUAAACUGAAGCCUCAAUCCAAUGCAGUUAUAAAUAUGUAGCUCCUUGAGGCCUUUGGGUUCAGAUAGUGACCUUGGGAGUGACGUCAACAGCGUGUUGUCGAUCAGCUUGAGUGUACGCAGCCUUUGCAUUGCUUCAAACAUAUCCUCUGGAAAAGAGGUAAUCUUAGUCCCCUCCACAUGAAGGAACAAAAGAUUGGACAGUUCAGCCAUGGAAGGAGGCAGUUCUUUGAGAUUGGAGCAAUGACCAAGAAUGAGCUCCUCAAGACUUAACAUGCUAUGGAAGAAUUCAGAAGGCAGAGUGGUGAUUCUUGAACCAGACAGAUCAAGGUAGUGCAGAUUUCUCUUGUUGCUACCAUCCUGCUGGGUUAUCUCCAGCAAGGGAACCCCAUUCAUAUCAAGGACUUGAAGGUUUCCUAGAUGUGCGAGUGGUGAUGUUUCUUCAUCGGAACUAGGUGGUGAUGGAGACAAGGUCUCGAGGUGAGAGCAGCCUCUGAGUGAGAGCAAGUUCAGAUUCAGUAGCUGAGAAAACCCAGGAGGCAGAGAAUCUAUCUGUGUAUAGGACAAAUCAAGAACACGGAUGAAGCUGUUUAACACUUCAUCAAAGCCUGAUAUGUUUGAGCAACCUCUCAGAAUAAGGGUGCUCAUGCUCACUUUUCCUCGGAUAAAUUCUGCCUUCCGGGGCCUUUCCCAAUCCCAGCUUACAUGCCUACCAUCACCAUUCAUAAAUGAGACCCAUCUCAGUUUCUCUCUCCUUUUUGGUACAUAAAGUUCAUCUUGCUUGAGUCGGGAGACACCCUUAGCUAACUGUGACACGCCAGUGAUGUUAUCCUGGAAGGAUGAUGCAGAAGUGGUGGUAGCCGUCCAUGAAGUGCUGCUUGUUGGGGUAGAAACAGAAUAUAUUGGAAGUAAUGAAUAUUCUUGCAAGGCUUGAACCACGACCUUUCCAGCUUCAUAUGCAGACCUGUAGUAGUUGCUCUGUUUCUUGCCGGUGGCUGCUGGUUUCCUGGUGGGGCUUGUUGUUGAAAAAAUCAGUUCCUCAGCCACCAAACAGCGAACCAGCUCAUCGGAGGUAACAGAGAAGGUGGUGCUUGCCUGACAUCCAGCAGCUCCUUGCAGUCGAUGGUAGAGGACACCAUAAUACAAGCAGUGUUGAGCCACGUGGAGCCAGAACUCGUCUCCUUGCUGCUUGAGUGUGUUAUGGAUGGAGGCGGCUGCAUCCACUAAGGCCUCUUUAAUCAGCACAGCCCACUCUGGCUCUAGGAGAUCAUGAAAAGGCAGGGCAUGGUAAUAUUCCCAGCUUAGAUGAACUACCAUGGGAGAACGAGUUAUAGCCUGUCUGCUUUUGUCGCAGACAUCCUUGGAAGUUGUUGAGAUGAGCCACCGGCUCUGGAAGGGUGACGGCCGCCGUCCGCCCAUUGUGAAAACCAGCACUUCCAAUGGGACGGGAACAUGCAGGUUUUCUACCAGCAGCAGAUGCUUCUUCCCUAGGAACGCUUUCAUGAUCCUUUCGA
rnacentral:lncRNA from 1 species